AGCGAACGCUGGCGGCAGGCCUAACACAUGCAAGUCGAACGAACUCUUCGGAGUUAGUGGCGGACGGGUGAGUAACACGUGGGAACGUGCCCUUUGGUACGGAAUAACUCAGGGAAACUUGAGCUAAUACCGUAUGUGCCCUUCGGGGGAAAGAUUUAUCGCCAUUGGAGCGGCCCGCGUCUGAUUAGCUAGUUGGUGAGGUAAAGGCUCACCAAGGCUACGAUCAGUAGCUGGUCUGAGAGGAUGAUCAGCCACAUUGGGACUGAGACACGGCCCAAACUCCUACGGGAGGCAGCAGUGGGAAAUCUUGCGCAAUGGGCGAAAGCCUGACGCAGCCAUGCCGCGUGAAUGAUGAAGGUCUUAGGAUUGUAAAAUUCUUUCACCGGGGACGAUAAUGACGGUACCCGGAGAAGAAGCCCCGGCUAACUUCG
rnacentral:rRNA from 1 species